rnacentral:rRNA from 1 species
UAGGGAAUCUUCCACAAUGGACGCAAGUCUGAUGGAGCAACGCCGCGUGAGUGAAGAAGGUUUUCGGAUCGUAAAGCUCUGUUGUUGGUGAAGAAGGAUAGAGGCAGUAACUGGUCUUUAUUUGACGGUAAUCAACCAGAAAGUCACGGCUAACUACGUGCCAGCAGCCGCGGUAAUACGUAGGUGGCAAGCGUUGUCCGGAUUUAUUGGGCGUAAAGCGAGCGCAGGCGGAAUGAUAAGUCUGAUGUGAAAGCCCACGGCUCAACCGUGGAACUGCAUCGGAAACUGUCAUUCUUGAGUGCAGAAGAGGAGAGUGGAAUUCCAUGUGUAGCGGUGGAAUGCGUAGAUAUAUGGAAGAGCACCAGUGGCGAAGGCGGCUCUCUGGUCUGCAAAUGACGCUGAGGCUCGAAAGCAUGGGUAGAGAACAGG